AAGAAACUAACAAGGAUUCCCCUAGUAACGGCGAGUGAACCGGGAAGAGCUCAAAUUUGAAAUCUGGCGUGCUCAGUGCGUCCGAGUUGUAAUCUAUAGAGGCGUUUUCCGUGCCGGACUGUGUCUAAGUCCCUUGGAACAGGGUAUCAAAGAGGGUGAUAAUCCCGUACUUGACACAAUGACCGGUGCUCUGUGAUACGUCUUCUACGAGUCGAGUUGUUUGGGAAUGCAGCUCAAAAUGGGUGGUGAGUUCCAUCUAAAGCUAAAUAUUGGCGAGAGACCGAUAGCGAACAAGUACCGUGAGGGAAAGAUGAAAAGCACUUUGGAAAGAGAGUUAAACAGUACGUGAAAUUGUUGAAAGGGAAACGAUUGAAGUCAGUCGUGACUGAGAGGCUCAGCCGGUUCUGCCGGUGUAUUCCCCUCAGUCGGGUCAACAUCAGUUUUGUUCGGUGGAUAAGGGCAGCUGGAAGGUGGCACCUCCGGGUGUGUUAUAGCCAGCUGUCGCAUACAUCGAAUGAGACUGAGGAAUGCAGCUCGCCUUUAUGGCCGGGGUUCGCCCACGUCCGAGCUUAGGAUGUUGACAUAAUGGCUUUAAACGACCC
rnacentral:rRNA from 1 species